UGGGGAAUAUUGGACAAUGGACCAAAAGUCUGAUCCAGCAAUUCUGUGUGCACGAUGACGUUUUUCGGAAUGUAAAGUGCUUUCAGUUGGGAAGAAAAAAAUGACGGUACCAACAGAAGAAGUGACGGCUAAAUACGUGCCAGCAGCCGCGGUAAUACGUAUGUCACAAGCGUUAUCCGGAUUUAUUGGGCGUAAAGCGCGUCUAGGUGGUUAUGUAAGUCUGAUGUGAAAAUGCAGGGCUCAACUCUGUAUUGCGUUGGAAACUGCAUGACUAGAGUACUGGGGAGGUAAGCGGAACUACAAGUGUAGAGGUGAAAUUCGUAGAUAUUUGUAGGAAUGCCGAUGGGGAAGCCAGCUUACUGGACAGAUACUGACGCUAAAGCGCGAAAGCGUGGGUAGCAAACAGGAUUAGAUACCCUGGUAGUCCACGCCGUAAACGAUGAUUACUAGGUGUUGGGGGUCGAACCUCAGCGCCCAAGCUAACGCGAUAAGUAAUCCGCCUGGGGAGUACGUACGCAAGUAUG
rnacentral:rRNA from 1 species